UACGUAGGGCGCAAGCGUUGUCCGGAAUUAUUGGGCGUAAAGAGCUCGUAGGUGGUUUGUUACGUCUGCUGUGAAAUCCUAGGGCUUAACCCUGGGCUUGCAGUGGAUACGGGCAGACUAGAGGUAGGUAGGGGAGAAUGGAAUUCCUGGUGUAGCGGUGAAAUGCGCAGAUAUCAGGAAGAACACCCGUGGCGAAGGCGGUUCUCUGGGACGGUACUGACGCUGAGACGCGAAAGCGUGGGGAGCGAACAGG
rnacentral:rRNA from 1 species